UUCCUGCUGGCCAGGCAGGCAGCACCUUCAGAGGUGGGAGGCCUGCCUGCUGGCUGUCCCCAGGAGGUGCAGCUCUGGAGCCAGUGCUGGUGACCCACUCCCACUCUGCGGUCUUGGAAAGAGUCCAGCUGGGACCUCCUCCGCCAGUCAUACCAAAUGGCCACUGUGCCAUUAUUGACCACCGUCAGUUCUGAAGAUGCUUUCUCGCCUUCUAGAGUUUCAAAGGUCAAGCGGACAGCAAUUCCAACGUGCCUCUGGGGAGAGAAGAGGCAUGAGAGAUGCCUCUGUGGGAGGUCCUGGCCUAGGGUGACCAACUCAGCCUGGUUUGCCGGGACUCUUCCGGGUUUGGCACUGGAAGUCUCCUGGGCCUGGCCGCUCUCAAACAGCUAGGUAUCAUACCCCAAGAGUGGCUGUCCCUGCCAUCAGCAGUAAGGAGAGGAGAUGAAACAGAUGUUUACAAACACUUCUGUUCCUUAGCGUCUGAAGACUAUUUUAGAACCUUCUUAAAGCCA